rnacentral:rRNA from 1 species
UACGUAGGCAGCGAGCGUUGUUCGGAGUUACUGGGCGUAAAGGGCGCGUAGGCGCCUUCUAAGUCGAACGUGAAAUCCCCGGGCUCAACCCGGGAACUGCGUCCGAUACUGGAAGGCUAGAAUCCGGGAGAGGGAUGCGGAAUUCCAGGUGUAGCGGUGAAAUGCGUAGAUAUCUGGAGGAACACCGGUGGCGAAGGCGGCAUCCUGGACCGGUAUUGACGCUGAGGCGCGAAAGCCAGGGGAGCAAAGCGGG